rnacentral:rRNA from 1 species
GACGAACGCUGGCGGCGUGCCUAAUACAUGCAAGUAGAACGCUGAAGAGAGGAGCUUGCUCUUCCUGGAUGAGUUGCGAACGGGUGAGUAACGCGUAGGUAACCUGCCUUGUAGCGGGGGAUAACUAUUGGAAACGAUAGCUAAUACCGCAUAACAAUGGAUGACACAUGUCAUUUAUUUGAAAGGGGCAAUUGCUCCACUACAAGAUGGACCUGCGUUGUAUUAGCUAGUAGGUGAGGUAAUGGCUCACCUAGGCGACGAUACAUAGCCGACCUGAGAGGGUGAUCGGCCACACUGGGACUGAGACACGGCCCAGACUCCUACGGGAGGCAGCAGUAGGGAAUCUUCGGCAAUGGGGGCAACCCUGACCGAGCAACGCCGCGUGAGUGAAGAAGGUUUUCGGAUCGUAAAGCUCUGUUGUAAGUCAAGAACGGGUGUGAGAGUGGAAAGUUCACACUGUGACGGUAGCUUACCAGAAAGGGACGGCUAACUACGUG